GACGAACGCUGGCGGCGUGCUUAACACAUGCAAGUCGAGCGGUAAGGCCCUUUCGGGGUACACGAGCGGCGAACGGGUGAGUAACACGUGGGUGACCUGCCCUCAGCUCUGGGAUAAGCCUGGGAAACCGGGUCUAAUACCGGAUAUGACUCCAUGACGCAUGUUGUGGGGUGGAAAGACCUUGUGCGGCUGAGGAUGGGCCCGCGGCCUAUCAGCUUGUUGGUGGGGUGAUGGCCUACCAAGGCGACGAC
rnacentral:rRNA from 1 species